GGGGGUGUCAGGUUUCGACGGGGGUUCUGAACGUGAGGAUCGCGUGUCGGGGCUGUCUACAUAGCCACGCAAAAAUAUGUGGAAAACACAGAUGCCAACGACGGCAACUACGGGCGCAUCGCCCUCGCUGCGUAAGUAGCGACAUCUCUGCCUGAGGAGUUCCAGUAGGGACAGGGGUGUAAUUACAGGAGCUGGCAGGUGCGCAAGCCUCGGGCGCACCGGCGAGAACUAGAGGAUCGGACGAGGGGGGGCCUGUUGAUGGGCAUGCCUGAGUCCAAAAUCCAAAUUCAUCAACUACACACGUAGAGGUUCCACCUGAUGGCCUGCGGACCCGGGUUCAAUUCCCGGCGCCUCCAUCC
rnacentral:tmRNA from 1 species